UACGUAGGGUGCGAGCGUUGUCCGGAAUUAUUGGGCGUAAAGGGCUCGUAGGCGGCCAACUAAGUCGGACGUGAAAUCCCUCAGCUUAACUGGGGAACUGCGUCCGAUACUGGAUGGCUUGGAUUUGGGAGAGGGAUGCGGAAUUCCAGGUGUAGCGGUGAAAUGCGUAGAUAUCUGGAGGAACACCGGUGGCGAAGGCGGCAUCCUGGACCAAUAUUGACGCUGAGGAGCGAAAGCUAGGGGAGCAAACGGG
rnacentral:rRNA from 1 species